rnacentral:rRNA from 1 species
UACGGAGGAUGCGAGCGUUAUCCGGAUUUAUUGGGUUUAAAGGGUGCGUAGGCGGAUCGUUAAGUCAGUGGUCAAAUUGAGGGGCUCAACCCCUUCCCGCCAUUGAAACUGGCGAUCUUGAGUGGAAGAGAAGUAUGCGGAAUGCGUGGUGUAGCGGUGAAAUGCAUAGAUAUCACGCAGAACCCCGAUUGCGAAGGUAGCAUGCCGGCUUCCUACUGACGCUGAAGCACGAAAGCGUGGGGAUCGAACAGG